rnacentral:rRNA from 1 species
AUUGAACGCUGGCGGCAGGCCUAACACAUGCAAGUCGAACGAGUGGCGGACGGGUGAGUAAUGUCUGGGAAACUGCCUGAUGGAGGGGGAUAACUACUGGAAACGGUAGCUAAUACCGCAUACCAUCGGAUGUGCCCAGAUGGGAUUAGCUAGUAGGUGGGGUAACGGCUCACCUAGGCGACGAUCCCUCUCUGGUCUGAGAGGAUGACCAGCCACACUGGAACUGAGACACGGUCCAGACUCCUACGGGAGGCAGCAGUGGGGAAUAUUGGGCAAUGGGCGCAAGCCUGAUGCAGCCAUGCCGCGUGUAUGAAGAAGGCUUUCGGGUCGUAAAGUACUUUUAGCGGGGAGGCGUUACCCGACGAGGAAGCAACGGCUAACUACGUGCCAGCAGCCGCGGUAAUUC